CUAAUACAUGCAAGUCGAGCGAAUGGAUUAAGAGCUUGCUCUUAUGAAGUUAGCGGCGGACGGGUGAGUAACACGUGGGUAACCUGCCCAUAAGACUGGGAUAACUCCGGGAAACCGGGGCUAAUACCGGAUAACAUUUUGAACCGCAUGGUUCGAAAUUGAAAGGCGGCUUCGGCUGUCACUUAUGGAUGGACCCGCGUCGCAUUAGCUAGUUGGUGAGGUAACGGCUCACCAAGGCAACGAUGCGUAGCCGACCUGAGAGGGUGAUCGGCCACACUGGGACUGAGACACGGCCCAGACUCCUACGGGAGGCAGCAGUAGGGAAUCUUCCGCAAUGGACGAAAGUCUGACGGAGCAACGCCGCGUGAGUGAUGAAGGCUUUCGGGUCGUAAAACUCUGUUGUUAGGGAAGAACAAGUGCUAGUUGAAUAAGCUGGCACCUUGACGGUACCUAACCAGAAAGCCACGGCUAACUACGUGCCAGCAGCCGCGGUAAUACGUAGGUGGCAAGCGUUAUCCGGAAUUAUUGGGCGUAAAGCGCGCGCAGGUGGUUUCUUAAGUCUGAUGUGAAAGCCCACGGCUCAACCGUGGAGGGUCAUUGGAAACUGGGAGACUUGAGUGCAGAAGAGGAAAGUGGAAUUCCAUGUGUAGCGGUGAAAUGCGUAGAGAUAUGGAGGAACACCAGUGGCGAAGGCGACUUUCUGGUCUGUAACUGACACUGAGGCGCGAAAGCGUGGGGAGCAAACAGGAUUAGAUAC
rnacentral:rRNA from 1 species